GUCCAGCUGGCGGAUAUCUGAGACGAGUGAAAGGAGAAAAAAUGAAGGCAAAGAUCCCUUUCCCCCAAAUACACACAGACACCAAAUGUGGCCUGAGACGUCCUGCCACACCAUGUGUCCUUGUGUUUGUGUAUUUGCAGUAGCACAUACAAAAUUCUUAUUCACACGUACCAAUACAUCUUAUUCUUAAUCUACCCAGUAUAAUCUGUAAUGUACUCAGACAAAAUAAGCCAUAUAGCAUGCAACACACAUACUGUGUACUCUACAUAUCCAAGGCCCUAUAGCAUAAAUACAAGCCCUCUGUCUUUCAUUGCGAUUAAGAGGAAUCAAGUAUGUGUGUGAAUGCGUGCGGAUAUCAGGAGAACCCUUCUUCCCUCCGGACAGACAAAUCGCUCCCUGAGUUUACUUGUGUCACACAACACACACACUGAUGCGUCUACCAUCCAAUCAUGUGACCAGACCAAGGGCUGAAAUCUGAUCUGUGUUCACACACUCCUUUCAGAACAAGGUCAGACACAAUACAAUUCACAAAGCACGGGAGGAGGAGGAGGAAGAGGAGGAGGAGAAAGGGAGGAGUGCGACAGGAGUCCAUGUGGAGUGAGCAUGUAGAAAGAUCCGUUCCAAAACUUCUCUCAUGUUGCUGGUAUACUGGAUGACAAAUGGACAAGACAUAAUGGGUGGUAAAGGUGGUGGCGGCUCAGGUGAGACAUUGAAAUUGGGACAUUAUCAUGGGCCAUCCACUUCGAACUAUGAAGCUAUCUGAAGAAGACAAUGAAGAGACGCCAGAAGAUUGAGUGCCGGGGACGGAAGGGGUUGGUCAACUGUGCCCGUAAAUUAUUUUGAUUGUCUAAAAAUGUUUAUUUGGGUUAUCAAGUUGAUUGUAGAGGUCUAUACAAUGCUACAUUUACAGUAAUUUAGAUUAAGAAUGCAUUACGAUACACUUUGAAGUUUGUGGAAAUGUGAAAUUAAUGUAGGAGAAAAUAACUCAUUAGACCUGGUAAAAGAUAAUCAACAACAAAAAAUACAUGCAUUUUCACAUUUCUUGUGUGCCAUCAUUUUGAAAUGCAAGAGAAAGGCCAUUUAUAUGACUUAGGACUCAAGACGCAAUUUACAUUUUGGCCACUAGAUGGCAGCAGUGUAUGUGAAAAGUCUUAGACUGAUCCAAUGAACCAUUGCAUUACUGUUCAAAAUGUUGUCAAGUCUGCCCAAAUGUGCCGAAUUGGUCAAUUGAUACAUUUAAGUACAUAACUACAGAGAACAUACAAUUUGUAUUACCAUAUCAUUUUUGAAAGUUUACACACUCCCAGGAAUGUCAUAAAUGAUGGAUAAUUAACUUCCCUACAGAAAAGACACUAACCUCCACACAUCUAGAUGGGGGGGCAGACAGCAGGGGUUCAAAUUAUAGAAACCAGUUCCUACAUUUGAAUAUAAAAAUGGAUUUUUUUCCCCAAAAAAACUAUACUACAUCUUAUCUCUGGGACCCUCAGGAUGAAAAAUCAGAGCAAGAUUACUGAAUGUAACCUUCAGAGGUGAAUGUAUCAAACCAGUUGCCAUGACAAAAGUGUUUGUUGUUGUGCACUCUCCACAAACAAUAGCAUGGCAUUUCUUUCACUGUAAUAGCUACUGUAAAUUGGACAGUGCAGUUAGAUUAACAAGAAUGUAAGCUUUCUGCCCAUAUAAGACAUGUCUAUGUCCUGGGAAAUGUUCUUGUUACUUAAAACGUCAUGCUAAUCACAUUAGCGCACGUUAGCUCAACCGUCCCGGGGGGAGGACACUGGUCAUGUAGAGGUUAAAGUCUUUCUUUGCUUAUUUGAGCUGUUUUUGCCAUAAUAUGGACUUGGUCUUUUACCAAAUAGGGCUGUCUUCUGUAUACCACCCCUACCUUGUCACAACACAACUGAUUGGCUCAAAUGCAUUAAGAAGGAAAGAAAUUCCACAAAUUAACUUUAAGCAAGGCACACCUGUUAAUUGAAAUGCAUUCCAGGCGACUUCCUCAUGAAGCCGGUUGAGAGAAUGCCAAGAGUGUGCAAAGCUGUCAUCAAGGCAAAGGGUGGCUACUUUGAAAAAUCUAAAAUAUAUUUUGAUUUGUUUAAAACUUUUUGGGAACCUACAGAAUGUGUAAUUCCAUGUUGAUGUCUUCACCAUUAUUCUACAAUGUAGAAAAUAGUAAAAAUAAAGAAAAGCCCUUGAAUGAG
rnacentral:lncRNA from 1 species